UACGUAGGGAGCAAGCGUUGUUCGGAUUUACUGGGCGUAAAGGGCGCGUAGGCGGCGUGUUAAGUCAGCUGUGAAAUCUCCAAGCUCAACUUGGAACGGCCAGCUGAUACUGAUGUGCUAGAGUGCAGAAGGGGCAAUCGGAAUUCUUGGUGUAGCGGUGAAAUGCGUAGAUAUCAAGAGGAACACCUGAGGUGAAGACGGGUUGCUGGGCCAACACUGACGCUGAGGCGCGAAAGCCAGGGGAGCAAACGGG
rnacentral:rRNA from 1 species